GAUGAACGCUGGCGGCGUGCCUAAUACAUGCAAGUCGAGCGAACAGACCAGGAGCUUUCUCCUCUGACUUUAUCGGCGGACGGGAGAUUAACACGUGGUUAACCUACCUAUAAGACUGGGAUACCUUCGGGAAACCGUAGCUACUACCGGAUAAUAUAUUGCACCUCAUUGUUCCAUAGUUAGAGACGGUUUUUCUGUCACUUAUAGCUUAAUCCGCGCCGCAUUAGCUAGUUGUGUAGGUAACGGCUUAACAAGGCUACGAUGGGUACCCGACCUGAGAGGGUGAUCGGACACACUGGAACUGAGACACGGUAGAGACUCCUGCGGGAAGAAGCAGUAGGGAAUCUUACGCGAUGGACGAGAGGCGGACGGAGGAAAGCCGCGUGAGUGAUGAAGGAGUAAGGAUGGGAGAGCGAUGUAAUUAGGGAAGAAGAAAAGUGUAAGUAACUAGGAAGAUAUUGACGGUACCGAAUCAGAAAGCCACGGCUAACUACGUG
rnacentral:rRNA from 1 species